rnacentral:rRNA from 1 species
AGUGAACGCUGGCGGUAGGCCUAACACAUGCAAGUCGAACGGCAGCACAGUAAGAGCUUGCUCUUACGGGUGGCGAGUGGCGGACGGGUGAGGAAUACAUCGGAAUCUACUUUUUCGUGGGGGAUAACGUAGGGAAACUUACGCUAAUACCGCAUACGACCUACGGGUGAAAGCAGGGGAUCUUCGGACCUUGCGCGAUUGAAUGAGCCGAUGUCGGAUUAGCUAGUUGGCGGGGUAAAGGCCCACCCAGGCGACGAUCCGUAGCUGGUCUGAGAGGAUGAUCAGCCACACUGGAACUGAGACACGGUCCAGACUCCUACGGGAGGCAGCAGUGGGGAAUAUUGGACAAUGGGCGCAAGCCUGAUCCAGCCAUACCGCGUGGGUGAAGAGGGCCUUCGGGUUGUAAAGCCCUUUUGUUGGGAAAGAAAAGCAGCAGGUUAAUACCCCGCUGUUCUGACGGUACCCAAAGAAUAAGCACCGGCUAACUUCGUG